rnacentral:rRNA from 1 species
CCUACGUGAGGCAGCAGUGGGGGAUAUUGCACAAUGGGGGAAACCCUGAUGCAGCGACGCCGCGUGUGGGAAGACGGUCCUCUGGAUUGUAAACCACUGUCCCCAGGGACGAAGAUGAUGGUACCUGGGGAGGAAGCUCCGGCUAACUACGUCCCAGCAGCCGCGGUAAUACGUAGGGAGCGAGCGUUGUCCGGAAUUACUGGGUGUAAAGGGAGCGUAGGCGGGACUGCAAGUUGGGUGUCAAAUCUACCGGCUCAACCGGUAGCCGCACUCAAAACUGCAGUUCUUGAGUGAAGUAGAGGCAGGCGGAAUUCCUAGUGUAGCGGUGAAAUGCGUAGAUAUUAGGAGGAACACCAGUGGCGAAGGCGGCCUGCUGGGCUUUUACUGACGCUGAGGCUCGAAAGUGUGGGGAGCAAACAGGAUUAGAUACCCGGGUAGUC